AAUCUUCAACGCGCAGUUUCUGCUCCGCAGUAAAAAUACGGAUGUCCUAAUCAGUCUCUGUCGCAAGACUGACCACUUUCACGGCAGACCUGCAAGAAAAAUAACAUCGCCACAUCAUCGCAACAAGUUCAAGGAAAAAAAGAUCACCUAAUUUUGGCAGGACCCUUAGAGAUUCUGACGAGUCUGAUGAAUCACUCUUGAAAAACCAGUAGGGGUAUUGCGUCCGCCAUUAAGCUGAAGAACAGCAUCGUGGGAAGAGGCUGGUUUCCCAUCCUGACACCAGACUCUAAAAAAGACCAGCGUCCACAUGCAGCGCGGCUCCCUGAAGGUCCGGGGCAGCCGGCAACGCUUCCUACCGUCACACCUCACUGUGCCAGAUGUUCAGGAGAAGUUAAUGGAACAGAAAGACAAAUAGUUAUGACAACACAUUUUUAAAAUUUGUUAUAUAAAAAGACACAUUAGAGAUAUAAGGCUCUUUUCAUUAUGACAGCAUAUAUUUGCAUGAGAUUUAUUAUAUGACCUAUUCAUGGAUUAAUUAUCCAUUCAAGGAUUUUCCAUAACUACAGGGUCACUGUGAGUGUGGGGCACAUUCCUGGAAGCCCAGAAGAUACUCAUUUAACAGUGAGCCCACGUACACUAAGGGCUUUCCUGGUAUGCUACCUUCAUUCAUUCACACACCCAUCAAUGUCAUAUACAUCAGUCAAAGUCUCUUCACGCUGAUUUGAGAUCUUGGCAGAUCUGUGUGUGAGGUUACCCCAUAUCUCACAUUCUAUUUCUGUCUCUGUUGGUAACAGAUGGACAGGAACCUAAGGGAGACGCUAUGGUGCUUCACACGUGAAUAACAGUGUGAGUGUCGCCCAUCGGCACUGUGCCUAACACCAAUGACCUCUGCAUCCCUGUUUGUUUGUCUGCAGUAUUUUGUUUUGGUUUGUUUCACUGCCUGGAAGGGCAACAUGCUAUGUAUAAAUUACUAAUUAGUUUUGCAGCGAAUAAAAAACAUCUGUAGACUGAA